UGAGGCAGGGGCUCCCUGUCCCCAUGGUCCCCGACGUGUGUUGGGGGUCACUGAAGAGGGGGUUUCUGCACAGUCUCGGGGGUAAACCAGUUGUUCCACAGAUUCUCUGCUCGGGUGUGUAAAGAGGGCCUGGCCUCCAGGAGCGUGUUGCCUGUGCGAACUCGUCCUGACCGGCGGGGCCUCCAGUCAGAAAGCAGGGUCUUGUGUCUGCUCCUACUUCUUGCUGACUGUGAGGCCUUCAUCAGAAACUUAACCUGUCCGGGACUGCAGCAGACCUCUGUGGGCGGUUUGUCUAAGCCAGGAAAUCAUCUAGGAUCAAAGACAUGGACUGUGUUUCUCAGCAGGGCUCGUGGCUGGAGGAGGACAGGGCUGUUGGCAUGGCUGAACCCCAGGACUUAAUUCUGGGAAGAGAUGGAAGACUGGACUGGAGACAGGACCUGAGCGGGAGAUCUUGACGCAUGGAGAUACACAGACUUCGCUUUCCUCUUGGAUCGUCAAAGGGUUUUGAAGCAAGGUCCCCAGCUCUCCUGCUCUCCGGCUUCACGCCCCUCUGAGGCCAUUCUCCAGCCAUCGGGACGAUGUUUAGAACCCUCGUGGAAGGGACCUGAGUGUGUGUUUGUGGAGGUGUCACAAAACAACCCCAGGAGCUACAAACACGUCGGGGAAGAUACUUUGAGAAAGUCUUCCGGGAUGUUCCUGAGCCACAG